GUAGUAAGAGCCGCUGCUCGGUGAGUGCAUCGCUGAGGACGUCAUGGCGUUGAACGAGAAGACGAACUCCUUUCGGUCACACAUGCUUGGAGACUGGGAAUGGUACCGAGGAAUACCUGCGGAGAGGGACGCAGGAGGAGUGAGGUGGAGGCUCUGCCGAGCUGCGCGCACAGAAACUCGGACGGGGACUUGAGAUCGACUCCUGCAGGCAGUUCACCAUCGGAUCAUCCAGUAAUGAAGGCUGGAGUGGGCAGGCGUGCGGCUUUGGCCACAGGAAGCUGUGAAUUCUUUGGAGAAUGGAAGAUGUCUUAUGGGGAGACAUAGUGGCCUCCACCCACCCACUCACCACCCCAAAAUGACACCUGACCCCUUCAUGUGUUUAUAUCAGACCAUGGAAGUGAGAAAUAGUGAUGAGUCACUCUGGCUGUGUGUUUACACUCCGGAGUCACGCAAGGAAGGAAAUCAGCCACGGUCUGCUAAAAGUGGCGAGGUGAGAGAGAAUAGCUGCAGUCCCCCAGAGCUGCAGUGAUUUACCUCUCAGAGCCAGAAUUUGUUUCACGUCAUCCCCGCUGUGAAGACUUCAGACCAAGAGAAAACAGCAACAUUAGCAGCGCAGUGGACUGAUGUCGAGGAAAAGGCAGCUCUGACUGCGGCAAGGGCCAAAACAAGAGGUAGUCACCGAGGACAUGCGUCUGUGUGUGGAUAUACUGUAUGUGUAAACUGAAUUUAGGAGAAAAAGUUUCCGUCUAGGACAGGCAAAACACAUGUCACUGUCAUAGAAUAAAAACCUGUAUGUCCACACAUCCCAGAAAACCAUUUUUUUAGCUUGAUGAUGAUAUUAUAUAUAUGUAUAUUAUAAUAUACAUUUGACUGUGUAAUCAUCUUGAAACAUUUUCAGAAACUUUUCUACAUUCUCAAUUUAAGUUAAAAAUGAAAAUCACUAAAACUAGAAAUGAUAUGUACUUACUUAGAUUUUCUUAAUUACCAUUGGUAUACUAUAUCGAUAUCAAGAUUUAAAAAAAGCCUUAAAGGUUGCAUGCAAAAUUCAGAGCAUUAUAAUAGCACCAAACACGAUUAUUUCCUAUGUAAAGAAAUAGUGGAUUAAUGGCAUCCUGAGCAGAGAAUGAACUCACACUUCCUGUCUGUGUUGUUAUCUGUGUUUAUCUAUGGUUUGUUGUGGUAAGCCGGUUUGGUGUGUAUGUUGGUGCGUGUAUGUGUGUGUGUGUGUGUGUAUCCCCUUAUCACAGCUGCUUUGCACUGCGCUCGCAAGGUGGUUACUGCUGAUAUUAGCACAGCAUCAUCACGCCCACCCUCCAAUUCCCCCAGGUUAUCACCAUUUCUCAGUCAGCACUGUUGUCUUUGUUUAUCACUGUUUAUGGAGCAAGCACCAUUAGCUGCUAGCUGCUAGCUCAGCCACCUCCAUGUUGAGAACCGUGUCCAAACAUACGCUUUGAAUUUUACAUAGAUUCCCUUUCAAUCAUUUAAUUUCAUCCACAAUUCAAAUUUCUGGCUGUGAUUUCCUGCAAAAUAAAUAUGUAAAUCACAUACUCAAAGGGCCUAAAAAACACCCUAGUACUUAAAAUAUAUUUUGUCUGACGCUGUGUCUGUCACAGGUUUACCUGAGACUAAAUUUAGGGGAAAAUAGUUUAUGUUUUGAUGUAGAAAAAAAAGUGGAUUUUAUGAACGCAGGCCAGGAAGAGUCACUCCUGAUGAUCCCAGUGAAAUCCUGUUUAUUAAAUUUUUUUUUUAUAAUAACAAAAAAUACAUUAUAGGUUGUAGAAAUCCCCAAAUCACGAGUCACUUUAUUGGUUUGCACUAUAAUAAAACAGGUAUCACAUUUUCAGCCUCUUCACUGUGCACAUCAUCCAACAGUCUGUGCAGCAGUUUAUAUUGAUAAUGUGCCUUAAAGGUUACUGUGUGUUUUAUGGCCCUAAAAAUACAUUAUUAUUAAGAUAAUUUUCUCAUUGCAAUAUAAAAUGUCUGCCUAUUGCUUUGUGUUCCGGAGGACUUUAUUUUCAUUGUAAGGUGUGUUUACUGCGGCUAUGACCAAUGUUUCAAACAUGGUGUCAUUGUUGUCCUCCGCACCAAGCGACUUUAGAUUUUAGAUUGCACAACUGUUGUUUUCAAGAGACAGCUGCAGUCACUGCAGUAGCACUCUGUAAAUAAAAGUGACACUUUAUUUCUUUCCAUCAUUACAUUGGUGCAAGUAACUUCAUUGCCGACUGUAGCGAGUAUCCUGUUACACACCCCCAUGCGCACCGCCACAAUGAGAGAGUCAGCAGCUCUUAUUUUGGCUGAUCUCUCCUGAAUUGUAAGUCCUGUCAGGGGCUUUGAUUGAUAGUUGUGUUUAUCACCAUAUUAUUAAGUAAUCAGGCUCCACCACAGCUGGGCCUGAAGCUCCUUAAUUCCAGCUAAAGCACACGGCUUCAUGCUAAUUAAAGGUUUGGCCAAAGUGUUUAUUUUUGUGAAUUUUUUUAAAACAAUAUAUAGUCUGUGUUUUUAUGUGAGUGCUCUGAUUGUUGCAUUUGUAUCCUUCAGAACCAACAUUCAGUGUUUUUAUUGUCAUUAGAAAGAUCACGGUUAUUCAAGGACAUUGGAGGGAAAAUCGUGCCACAUUAACUGCAUGUAGAGUGUAACAAUCUCACAUAACUUACAGUUUUACAUGACUGUAAAACCUGCAAAAUGGCAAAUAACAUAUGUACAGUGUAGUACAGUACAGAAAAUCCGCAUAUAACAUGAGAGGGUCAAUCAGUCUCUGUUGAGUGUAUCAGCAGAGGUUUCUUCUCGCUUCGUUAAUAGAGCCUGCGGCAGGCUGCGUUUGUGUAUUCCUGAGGUAAACACAGUCAUGGCAAAGUGGACAUGCUGCUGAGUGUGUCCUGACUGGAGACAGAGAGCACUGUGGCACUGUACUGACUGAGACACUGGCAGCUCUCUCGAGGCAGAGUUAAUGUGAUGAAUGGCCAUUUGGUAAUGGGCCAUGUAUUAGGGUGGAAUAGCUCUUUUAAAAGCCCAAGCUUGAGCCGUUGCUAUGGGCAAUUUGAUUCGGGAAUCAAUCAGGUGGCAGAUGUUUCAUGUUGGAUCAGUCAACUCUGUCUCGCUCUCUCUUUCAACCGAACCAAGGAAGGAUUGCUUCCAUGUAGCAAUCAAACGAAAGUGUAAAUUCACGCAGGCAAAAACAACAGUGAUACCAUAUUGUUUGAAAAUUCCUCGGCAAAAACAAUUAGGCCGGUUUUAGGAACUGUAUACAUAAACUGAUUGAUCCUUAAACAUGAUGAAAAAUGGAAUCAUAUUGUUUUCUUUAGGGCUGUGAGCACUGUAGGAUCUCUCACAAUCCUACAGCCACCAAACUGUAUGUGCUUUUUGUUCAACCCUAACCCAAUGUCACUGUCAGCCAGCCAGAAUGUUACUGAACUUAUCAAUGAGUAGCUGUGUUCUUCUUUAACUUUUACACAUUGCAGAAAUUAUUGUACACAUUUCCAGCAACACAAAUACUUAAAUUUGUGUGUCUUGUACAUUCAGAUCUGGGACUUUCUGCCCACAAAGUGAAAUAUAAUGUGGAAAGCCUACUUCAUAUCCCAUACAAAUAUUUGUAUGUUACCAGAGAGGUUUAGAUGUGUUAAUGUAAUUAUCGAAGUGUUUUGUGCAAUAAUUGUUCACAUAUUGCCUUUGGUAUUUUACUGUAGGUGUCCCUUCCAUCAUUAAAUGUUGUUAUUUUGAUAAAAGAAAAUAGAUUUACCUUAAAAUACACCUUAUUCAUAAUGUGUUUCACAUUGCUGUUUUCAGUGGUGUGGUGGUAGUUGAUGAGGUGGAUGUACUACUAAGUGGAUGCGAAAGUUACCAAGGAGGAAGUGGGUAUACUCUCCUCUAUAUUCCAAUGAUUUUUUGGCUGAUAGUUGGGUAUAUUGUCAGACAGUAAAUGAAGUGGGUAUACACCUGCGUAUACCCUCCACUACACUACUGGCUGUUUUGCAAAUCUGUUCUGCUGCUACAGUGUUUUUGACAUUGUUACCAUUGGAAUUUGUAUUGGUUUUCCAUUUUCAUUACAGCAAUAAAAGGAAAUUUGGACUUUG